UAAUUUUCAUAGAUUUAAAGAAAACGCGCGUUAACAUGAGCAUGCGCAAUAAAUGAUGCGCAUAAAAAGCCAGUAAGUGAGCGUUGUUACGUGAGCAUGAAAAAAUAAAUUAUACUUCAAAGUAACAAAUGUCGAUUUGUGAUUUAUUGUAUAAUUAUAGUGACUGUUUUCGCGUGAAAAAAAUAUAUAAAAUCGAAAGCAAAUAGUAAAAGAAAGAAAAGAUAAAAAAAUUAACCUUAAUUAACAAGAUUGUCAUUUGUGUUUCGUGUCGACAGUACUUUCAUAUGGAUUCGCGAUACUGGUUUUUAAACCGGUUUGGCUCGUUACUGCGCAAACUACAUAGACGCGUCUACAACAUUCUACUAACGUGAAAAAAAAAGCAAAUAACAAAAUGAUUUAAUUUUUAAUCUGAAUUUUUUAAUACAAAUAUUAUAAUUUAAGUAUAUACUAAUAUUUAAUUAAUAAUUAACCAUAAUAUAAUGAUUCAAAUAUUGUAAGUUAAAAAAUUGAAAAAUUAAAAAUUUUUGUAAAGUCGUUAUCAAUGUUUUCACGGAUUCGAAGAAUAUCAAGGAGAUCAAUUACUUUAAAAGUAUCUCUAACACAAAACUAUCCGACAAGAACAUAAAAUAUAGUUUGAAGUAAUCUUUCGUUCCACCGGCGACAGGCGGCGUAUGCUUGUCAGAAAGCAACGCGGGAUAACCGCAUCGCGCAGACCGAAACUAGCAAAAAUAAACACUUUGCCGCGAGGCCAUGAACCAUUAUAUUAUGUACAGUUCGUUCAGAGACGUAUCGAAGUCAUAAAUUAUUAUAUCAAUCGGUUGUACGAUUGUCGCUAUAGCGACAUUUCUUAUAUCGUCGGAACAUUUUUCUAGAUUGAUUUCAUAACCUCUUUAUGUCUUUAACAGAUAUCUUAAUAUAUAUAUAUAUAUAUAUAUAUACAUAUAGUAUAUUGGAGUAUAAAGUUUGCCCAAAAAACAAUUGUCAAGAGUCAGCAUAGGAUUAUAAUAAUUUACGAGAAAUAUCGUCAUCGUUGUAGUAUCGUUUUCUUCGAAAGACGAAAACGAAGACCCGAAGGCGAGCGUGCAUUGACGCCGCCCGAUACUGGGUGGUAAGUCCAUCGGUGCAUCGUGGUGCAAUCAGUUGUAGCAACAACGACGUUGUAUUGGUAGUGAUGCAUCGUUUACGGUAGAGGGGGCGAAAGUAUGACGAGAAGAGCAACGAAAUGGUUGAAGGGUGGGAGGAAGAGGGAGAUUGUUAAGUUAUGUUAGUCGAUAUACGGGUUUGUUUGCGUAGUCAGUGACGGUGUAGGAGAGCGCGCGGCAACUGGGAGAGUAAAACGGCGCAUGAAAAGAGAAAAAGAAGAAGAGGGAGGCGAAGUUGUGACCAGGGUGCCAGGGGGUCUGGCCCAAGCCUGUUUGUCGGUCCCGUUGCCCUAUAAUCGUGGUAUACGGAUAAUGGUUUGGGUUAAGGGGACGUCAGGAUGGGCCGUGCUAGAGGGGAACACGAGAGGAAAGAGAUCAGAGUAAAGAACGUGUAUAGAAGAGCCGGGAGCAGCGGCGUCGAGACAGAGCAGUUUCGAACGUCCUGCACUUUUCGUAGACGAAAAGGACGAGCCGACGCACACCCAAUCGAGCGAAACUUUCGCUGGCUCGGCUUACCCAUCGUUUGGCAAAGCUUUUCUUUCGAUCUUGUCCUGUCCAGGGAACCAAGCGAUGAUUUCUGGCCCAGCUAUGCUAGCUUGAAAAUGUAAUUACCGAGAAAGCCCGGUGGAGAAUGUUCCCGCUGACGCUGGAACACUUGAGGAAUAACUAUUGAAAAAUAUAAUAUUUUGCUCGUAUUUGGCUGAUUCAAAUACAUUUUUAUAAAAUUUGAAUGAUGCAUAGUUUUAUUAUAUGGGAAAUUAAUUAAUUCAUUGAAGGAUGAAUGAGAUAAUAGACGAUAAUAAUUUUCAUGAUUUAUAUACGCUUGCAUAAAACUGAUUCAGAAUCUGUUUUCAGGAAACAGUCAUGAGGAAACUUUUCUUACAAUUACAAUUUUUUCCAUACAUAUCAGCAUAAAGUUUUAUAUUAGGAAAAACUAAGGCUCAAGAAUGAAAACAACCAUGUAUUAAAGAUAACAGCAGAAGAAAUUGUAGCAUUGUUCAUCAUCCAUAACAGGAGGCGGGAAAAAAAAGGGAGGAGGAAAGGGAUGAUGGGGAUGGUGCAGAAGCGGCGGAUGGCGUCGGCGACAGCCGGCAGAGCCACGUCGUCGCCGUCGAACGGACGACGACGAAACGACGGGCAGGCUCUCUCGUGCAGACGAAACGUGUGUGGAGUGAGAGACGGAAAGGGAGAAAGAGACAGCCGGGCGCCGAUUCCAGCGACCGGCCGGCGCUAACCUCGACGCCAACCGUGGAACGUCGCCGACACCGUCGCCGCCACUGGCCGACCCACGACACCACGACGAAGACGACGAUGACGACGGGCACGACGACCACGACGACGAUGUCGACGACGACCACGACGAUGUCGACCAAUGCAAGAAUACUUCUUCUUCUGUUGGCAUCGUGGCAUCGUCACGGCGGGGGUGGGACGGUGUGCGUCGGUCGCCAAGCAGGAGGGCGCCCUUCCCUUACUACCCCAGCCUCCUCCGUUCGCAUCUCCUUUUGCACACCGACGCACAUGUUUGCUUUGGUAUUGUCAGCUGAAUUUCCCGAUCCCGGGAUACGUCAAUAGCGUGAUGUUUUGUUCGGGAAUAAUUAUGAAUCUGUGGACUUACGUGGCGAGCGGUGCCAGCGCGUCUUUACUAUCUCUAACGGGGGUUCCCUUCGCUCGCCCUCCUCUUUAGAAAAACGGAACGACGAUCCCCCCCCCAUCCUUUCCUUUCGGUCGCUCCUCGAUCGUAAGAAUCGUUUGUUCUGGGGGAAUGGCGUUUGGUUUUAUGGUUCUUACGGAAUUCAUGUAAUAUCGAUCAAGCUACGAAAGAAAUGUUUUCAAAACCUGUUUACUUCGAAAAGUUUUCCUCUUCGAAUCCGUUUACUCGCGGCUCCUAGGAUAAUCGUAAAUAGAUCAACCAUUGAAAUUAAGGCCGCGUCUGUCUGGACGUGUGAAAGAUUAUUAGUUUCUUUGUUUUAUUAAUCAAAAAAAAUGCACUACUAUUACAAAAAUAUCCAAUACUAUUGGAUAUUUGAAAAGAAUUUAUUUUUCAUUAAAGUACAUAUCUUUUAUUAAAGUAUUUCUUGUGCAUUUUAUCUUCGAACACGAUAAUUUCGUUAUAAAAGAUAAGAAAAAAAGGAAGAACCAUAUAAAGAUUCGUAUCAUAAAAUAAUAAACAUGAUAUAAUCGAGACAUAAUUUGUUAAAAAAACAUUACAAGAAUAUAAAAGUUGAAGAAACGGCGAUUCGAACGGUUGAAUUGCCACGAGUACUCCUAGAUCCAACACGAUAACUCAUUUUUUCGGCGGAUAGAGACGGCGCCUGUGUGUAUAGAGGAUGUUCCCUCCCGGUACCCAUGUUUUAACCCAUGCCAGCGCCUACCCCCCGGCAUAUCCACGAAAAGUAGAAGCGAGCCAUUGGGGCGGAAGAUGACUACGACGGCUCCAGCGAGGGGCGCCAAGUGUUUUGAUGCUUGUUAUGCGAAGGGGAGCUUGAUAAACAACGAGUUGGAGAACGAAGCCGGACCUAGAUCGUCACCAUCACCUCUUCCACCCACACUCGAAACCGACAUCCGACUGACUGGCUACGAUUGUGUCAUUACAAGAGAAUUGAUAUCACCGAUACUAUAACCGUCCCUUCUUGUUUUUUCCUCUAUAUCGUGGUAUAUACACGGGAGGAGGGUACGACUCGUAAAGUGGAAUCGCUAACGCGCGUUGAUUGCUUGGCAACAAAUUGAAAUCGCCCGGUACCGUUACAAAUGUGCAAUAAUCCGUGGAAUCUAAAAGUAUCCGGUAGACCUUAUUUCGAUUUCUAAGUUUUCUAAAUAAAUAUUCGAUAUUACGGAUAUAGGGAAAAUCGAUGAAGAGAUGAAUGAUUAUCGUGAUAAUAGAUUAUCGUAAUAGUAUACAAGAGCUGUUUUGAAUAAUCGAAUUUUUUUUAAAAAAUUGAACAAAUUUAAUAAAUCGUAGAAAUCAUACAAUAUUUAAUCAAUUAGAUAAAUUCUUGAACAUGACGUAUACUAAGUUUAAUAUUUGCAAUAAAAUAAAUUUAAAAAGAUCAAUAUUUAACAGGAAAAGAAUAAGGAUUCUUAUUCUUUUUUCUCUCUCUUCUCUAUGUAAUUAUUCUAAUUACAUUAUC